rnacentral:rRNA from 1 species
CUAGCCAUCAACUAUGGAUACUGGAUAUUCCUGCCCUCAUGUGGGAGUGUCGAAGCCAACGCGUUAAGUAUCCCGCCUGGGGAGUACGGUCGCAAGAUUGAAACUCAAAGGAAUUGACGGGGGCCCGCACAAGCGGUGGAGCAUGUGGUUUAAUUCGACGCAACGCGAAGAACCUUACCUGGGCUUGAACUGUCGGUAUAGGGACCCGAAAGGGCGACGAUCCCGGGCAACCGGGAAGCCGAUAGAGGUGC